ensembl:lncRNA
GUAUGGUUGUCUGUCUGAAUGUAGGGAGGUAUGGUAGUCUAACAAUGGAGGAAGGUAUGGUAGUCUAACAAUGGAGGGAGGUAUGGUUGUCUAACAAUGGAGGGAGGUAUGGUUGUCUAACAAUGGAGGGAGGUAUGGUAGUCUAACAAUGGAGGGAGGUAUGGUUGUCUAACAAUGGAGGAAGGUAUGGUAGUCUAACAAUGGAGGGAGGUAUGGUUGUCUAACAAUGGAGGGAGGUAUGGUAGUCUAACAAUGGAGGGAGGUAUGGUUGUCUAACAAUGGAGGAAGGUAUGGUUGUCUAACAAUGGAGGGAGGUAUGGUAGUCUAACAAUGGAGGGAGGUAUGGUUGUCUAACAAUGGAGGGAGGUAUGGUAUUCUAACAUUGUAGGGAGGUAUGGUUGUC